rnacentral:rRNA from 1 species
UACGUAGGGUGCGAGCGUUAAUCGGAAUUACUGGGCGUAAAGGGCGCGUAGGCGGCCCGCUAAGUCGAACGUGAAAUCCCCAGGCUCAACCUGGGAACUGCGUCCGAUACUGGCAGGCUUGAAUCCGGGAGAGGGAUGUGGAAUUCCAGGUGUAGCGGUGAAAUGCGUAGAUAUCUGGAGGAACACCGGUGGCGAAGGCGGCAUCCUGGACCGGUAUUGACGCUGAGGCGCGAAAGCUAGGGGAGCAAACGGG